GCGCCCAUAGCUCAGAAGGAUAGAGCGGUGGAUUCCUAAUCCGCAGGCCACAGGUUCGAAUCCUGUUGGGCGCACCA
rnacentral:tRNA from 2 species